GCCCUUGUAGCUCAACGGAUAGAGCAUCUCCCUUCUAAGGAGGAGAUGACAGUUCGAUUCUGUCCAAGGGCA
rnacentral:tRNA from 1 species